UCCAUUUUUAUCGACUAUCACUAUGCGCGUCCCUUUCGCACUUACAUACUUGUUAGAACGUGACAGGCAUGGUGACGAGGGAUAAAAACGCGACCGUGCUAAGCCGCCUGAUCUCAAUACACUUACACUUAGUUUAAUCUUUGCACAUGUCUGUUAUUUUUAAUAUCCAUUAGUUUAGAUACUCACUUACAUUAACGCUUUAGCAUAUCCAUUAUAUGUAUGUACGUUUAUAUAUGUACUAUGUUCUCAAGAAAUAAUGUACUUUCGAACUCGUUUUCAAACUCACGAAUGACGGGUAUGCUGCAUUGUAUUGUAUAUCGGUCUCAAUUAAUUAGCCUAAAUUAUUUGCCAUGAAAACUAUCAACUACCUACCAAUUUACCUACUGACAGCAUCAAAUAUAUCUAACUGACUAUUCGUGGUUUACAAAUAUUAUAUGUGACGUUAUCUAUGAAAAGGGACCUUAUUGUCGAUGGCGCUAACGCCAUUAUUAACGACGCUCCGAUAUAAAUACAAUGUUGCGCGACGCUGUGCGGCGUAAGCGCCAUCGACAAUAAGGUCCCUUUUCAUAGAUAGGUAAUGCUCCAUAAGUCCAUAUGUUUAUAUGAUUUCCAAAAACGUUCACUAAUGAUUUGUUAAGUUCGGGUCUGUUAGGGUUCCUUCUUUAUAUUACGGGAUUUUUCUGAUCUUUAAACUUUAAAUAUGAGAAUCAGAUUGACCUAGCUUUACUUACUUAGUUAUAAGUGUUAUAAGUAAAGUUUUGUGGCCAGAAGCAUCCUGUAUAUUAAAAUUAUCACGUAUUAUAAGUAUGUAAAGAGAUAAAAUUUUAUACAAACAUGGUUACCCGCAACAAUAGAUAGCCAUUAUCGUCGUACCGAAAAAAGGGACCUUGGGUAAUUGGAUCUUCUUACAUUAUGAAGCAUCGCUUUGUAUGAAACAUGUAUCGUUAACACUUUGAUCGCCACAGUUUUUUUUUAAUUAUAAUUUAGGAGUUUAGAGAAAAUCCUGUACCUAUCAUAUUCUCCAGGAUAUCCCGGGGGAACCGCCACAGACAUGCACAGUACAGUAUCACAUUAACCUUCAUGCAUUCCAAGAGGCGUGGCGUUCAAAGUGUUAAUAGUAGCGUUAGCACCAACCACCCCAUGGUUUCUUUUUUCAUGAAACGACAAGUAUGAUUCAUACGAUCUGAGCGAGGUAGCGGAGUGGAAUGCAAUGAAAAAAUCCAUUAACAGGAACGUCAAUAGAAACGCACCAAUAGGAGCUCGUUGUCGCACUGCUCCACUACCUCUCUCAUCUCUGGGCUAUAACGCCUAUAACCGAGAAAAUCGAAGUUCUUAAAUUUUGAAAAACUGUCUCUGUCACUCUAAUUACGCCUUUAUUGGAGUCAAAGAGGAGUUCAAGGUUAAAAUCGAAGUUCUUACAUUUCGAACAACUGUCUCUGUCACUCUAAUUACGCCUUCAUUGGAGUAUAAUUUGCGAACUUCGGUUUUCACGGUACACCCACACAGUCACGAAUACUACAGAGUUUAAUAUUGAUGGUAGGUAUACAUAUUUUUACGUACCGGAUCAGAGGGAUAUAGAUAUAGUAUAUUUACAGAGGGUACUGGUGUAGUAUUCAAUGUGCCAUUAAGGGAACAAAACACAUUUGAAUGUAUCUUUUGAUUUGGGUUUACUUGAGAAUUAUUACAAUAUGUUUAACCCUUUCACCGUUAGCAAGGCACAUACAAGAAUAUCAGUUAUACUAACAUCUCUCAAUGUACAGUCAGCUGCAAAGAUAACUGGCACCCCCGCACGGUACGAACGCCCGCUUCUUUAGGCAUCAUUGGCGUUUACAGGGCUAUAUUUUUUUGUUCACUGGGAUUCUUGAAGAUUAUGUAUUAAAAAUAAUCUUACAUACAAAUAUGUGAAAAGAAAGAAUUUUCUAUGAAAAAAGAUUGUCGAUGGCGCUUACGCCAUUAUUAACGAUGCUCCGAUAUAAAUACAAUGCCGCGCACCGCUGCGCGGCGUAAGCGCCAUCGAUAAUAAGGUCCCUUUUCAUAAAUAGGUAAUGCCCCAUAUUGUCAUGUCUGUAAUUAAGAACUGAUGAUGACAUGCAGCUGACAAAAACACCAAACUACGCUAUGGUUAAUAUAAACAAAAGUCAUCAAGUUCAAACAAAAAAAAAACAUCGAUUUCAUUCAAAAUGCAUGGUACAGCUUGGCAAAAAAAAGUAGAAAUUAAAAAGUGGCAACACUGUAGUGUCGUCCCUUUCAAACCAAUAACCACUACCCAACAUAACCAAUUUCAAUAAGAAAACGGGACGACACUACGUGUUGCCACUUUUUAAUUUCUACUGUUUUUUGCCAAGCUGUAAUUUCAACAUUGAAUCAUCUAUGUCGACUAGUCUCUGAUAUUUCAGAAUUUAACCAUUCAAGAAAUCCCUUAUAAAUCUGUGUUCUUAUUUAUUGACUAGUAUUUAGUAAAAUGAUCGUAUAGUAUUAUCAAUAGCAUUUUUAACGUAUAGUGAUGUUAGUUGCAUAUUAUACAUGAAUGUUAGAACUUAGCAUUGUGUUUAUACAUGUAAUUUAUAACAGUAAUUUGAUUAUUUUGUUGUAUUAUAUUAUGUUAAAUUUCUGUCGUUAGUAGUAUCAGGUCUAAGUAUAUUUACAAUCAUUGUGCAAUGAAAAAAUAAAAAUAUAUAAAAAAUAAUAAUUGUUAUGCCCCUCCCAGUGUCUAUGAAAGUUCCGAGACAAUUAUUUAAUAAAUUAUAACACAUA